UGAUAACGGAUUCUCAAACAGCCGUGAAAAUUUCAUGGAGCCAACAGAAAAUUAGAACAAGUUCAGUAUAAUCUGAAUUUCUAUCCUCCUUUUACGUCAUAGAAUAUAGUAUUAGAUUCGGUUUUGUUUCCAUAUUUUUGGACGUAGUUACCGCUCUUCUUCCUGUUUUAGUCGGUACAUUUUAUUCAAACAAAUUUGUGGUUCCUUUGUUUGGUCACGAUGGCUCUGCCAUGCUCCUAUGAUUUUGAUUCUUCAGUACUUGAUGUGUUUGUGCUCCCACUUAUCUAGCAGAACAAAGUAGCAAAGGUCCUCACUGUUACCAGUUCAAUUGUAGCUUCAUCUACUGGUUUGGUGGAAACACGAAAGCAAGGAUUGGUCAUCUUCACCGCCUUAGCCCUUCACAGUGAUGGUAUGUCUCUUCUGGUAGCAGUUGCCUAAAUAACAAAUCAGUGACUCCAUAAAGAGCUAUAUAUAGGACCAAGAUGGUGUUCAGACAACUAUAUGUAUAUGCAGAAGAUAGUUGUUGUAUUCAGUGUUUUAAGUUGCUAUUAGAGCUGAUCAAAAGAAAAAACAUCUAAACCCAAGUAUUUGGAGAUGGCAGUGUGGCAGUUACUUUAAUGUGUUUUCCGUUGCCUAAGGAGGCUGUAAUCAAGUUGCUAUUUUUUUCGUUUGCUUUACCUGCCUUUUGUAGUUCCUAUUGUAACCAGCUAAUUUAGUAAAACAUACAGUUUCUCCCUGUUCAGUUCUAA